CCUACGGGUGGCUGCAGUGGGGAAUAUUGGACAAUGGGGGCAACCCUGAUCCAGCAAUGCCGCGUGAAUGAUGAAGGCCUUCGGGUUGUAAAGUUCUUUUAUUGAUGACGAUAAUGACGGUAAUCAAUGAAUAAGCACCGGCUAACUUCGUGCCAGCAGCCGCGGUAAUACGAAGGGUGCUAGCGUUGUUCGGAAUGACUGGGCGUAAAGGGCGCGUAGGCGGCUAGAUACGUUUGAUGUGAAAUCCCCGGGCUUAACCUGGGAACUGCAUUGAA
rnacentral:rRNA from 1 species